rnacentral:rRNA from 1 species
UACGUAGGGUGCGAGCGUUGUCCGGAAUUACUGGGCGUAAAGAGCUCGUAGGUGGUUUGUCGCGUUGUUCGUGAAAACUCACAGCUUAACUAUGGGCGUGCGGGCGAUACGGGCAGACUGGAGUACUGCAGGGGAGACUGGAAUUCCUGGUGUAGCGGUGGAAUGCGCAGAUAUCAGGAGGAACACCGGUGGCGAAGGCGGGUCUCUGGGCAGUAACUGACGCUGGAGGAGCGAAAGCGUGGGGAGCGAACAGG